GUCGUCACAAGGUUUCCGUAAGGUAGAACCUGCGGAAGGAUCAUUACCGAGUUGAUUCGAGCUCCGGCUCGACUCUCCCACCCUUUGUGUACCUACCUCUGUUGCUUUGGCGGGCCGCCCCCGGGCGCCCGCCAGAGGACUUCAAAACUCCAGUCAGUGAACGUCUCAGUCUGAAAAACAAGUUAAUAAACUAAAACUUUCAACAACGGAUCUCUUGGUUCUGGCAUCGAUGAAGAACGCAGCGAAUUGCGAUAAGUAAUGUGCAAUUGCAGAAUUCAGUGAAUCAUCGAAUCUUUGGAACGCACAUUGCGCCCCUUGGUAUUCCGGGGGGCAUGCCUGUUCGAGCGUCAUUUCAACCCUCAAGCUCUGCUUGGUAUUGGGCUCCGUCCUCCGGGACGCGCCUCAAAGACCUCGGCGGCGGCGUCUUGCCUCAAGCGUAGUAGAAAACACCUCGCUUUGGAGCGCGUGGCGCCGCCCGCCGGACGAACCCUUUGAAUUUUUUCUCAAGGUUGGCCUCGGAUCAGGUAGGGAUACCCGUGAACUUAAGCAUAUAAAUAAGCGGAGG
rnacentral:rRNA from 1 species